AUCAUCUUCACCUGAAGACUGUUAAGUGCAGGAUUUAAGGGAAAGGUGGGGCAGGCUGUCUUCUUCUGAAGCAGACAUAGCUGACUGUAGUCUGUGUCUUUAGGAAGAAGAGCUAAGUUUUGCCAGGAGCAAGCAAGCUUUUACUGCUGGUACAUGUUGCCAUGUCUAGGAUGACUUAAAUUGAGGCUGUUGCUACCUCAUGACUUCUCGUUUUCCUGUUCGUCCUGACAGGGCUGGGAAGAGGAGAAGCAUGUGCUGUAUCAAUAAGUUAAGAAAAAUAUCAUGAGAGAAAAGUGAGCUGCUAGAGCUUCGUUGUAAACUGAGCCUUCUCAGAGAACUCAAGGAGUCCCAAUUCUAUCAGUAGGAUGAAGUUCCUUAGAUCCCACAGGUGGCAGCUUUAAAAUGCAGUAUCACCUCACGUUAGGAAGACUGCCUCUAGCAUCCUGAGAACCGGGAGUGAAAUAUGAACCACAGAAGUGAUCCACUGGUUCUCUGCGGCUAAGAGAGACUUGCCAAAGACAGUUCUGUUACGCAUCCCCAGUGCUGAUUUGGCUUUGGUGAAUAAACCCCCUAAUAAUAGACGAGCUGCUGUCUUCGCUCUUCCUAGUCUGUCACCACUGUAAGCAGUGGGAGUCGUGCCACGCAGAGAAGAGGAGCCCUAUGAGCACUGCACUGUACCUCAGAUCUUGCUGUUGGAAGAUGCUGCUUUUGAUGAUCUGCCUGCUAAUUCAGAAAUACAAAGUAGUCCAGAACCUCAAAAAUGGGUUUUGUCAGAGGUGUGCUUAUGAAGAUACUCCAAUUGCCUGAAUUAUCAGGUAGAAAGACUGGAGUAAAAUCUUCAGAAGCAUCCAAUCUCUUAAUUUGAAAGGGAACAAAGAAGUCUAACAUCUGUUGAAAGAAGAUAGAAUGAGGCUCCAAAACACAUGAGUGACUUCUGAAAAUGGGACAUCGACUCCUGAGGGAUGUUAAAAUGUUUCAUCCCCAGACGAAAAUGCCAAACACAUGCUCUUCAGAACCAUGGCCUGACACAGGCAGCAAGUGGGGCACCCUACCUGCUGCAGUGUUCAGAGUAAGGGCUCAACUGUGUUAAGUAUGACCUCCCCCUCCCCCCCAGCUAUCAGAACACAGGUUAACUACCACGUUAAAACCAAACCCACCCCAAAGCAGCCAGAGGACAUUGUUAGCAAAUGAUAGAAGAAAGGAGGAGCUAUAAAGCAGAAGAGGUAUAAAAGAAAAUUAAUUUUACAAAGGCUUAAUGAUCUUAAUGUCUUCUCCAGCCAGGCUGUUCCAGAAUCUGUGACUCGGAACUGUUUAGUGGGGCAGCAGCUCCAGAACCAUCUGACCUUAUC